rnacentral:rRNA from 1 species
CAGCUAGUUGGCGGGGUAACGGCCCACCAAGGCGAAGAUCGGUAGCCGGCCUGAGAGGGCGCACGGCCACACUGGAACUGAAACACGGUCCAGACUCCUACGGGAGGCAGCAGUGGGGAAUUUUGCGCAAUGGGGGAAACCCUGACGCAGCAACGCCGCGUGGAGGAUGAAGCCCCUUGGGGUGUAAACUCCUUUCGACCAAGACGAUAAUGACGGUACUGGUGGAAGAAGCACCGGCUAACUCUGUGCCAGCAGCCGCGGUAAUACAGAGGGUGCGAGCGUUGUUCGGAAUUAUUGGGCGUAAAGGGUGCGUAGGCGGUGCCACAAGUCACUUGUGAAAUCCCCGGGCUUAACCCGGGGCCUGCAGGCGAAACUGUGGUGCUGGAGUAUGGG